UAGGGAAUCUUCCGCAAUGGACGCAAGUCUGUCGGAGCAACGCCGCGUGAGUGAAGAAGGAUUUCGGUUCGUAAAACUCUGUUGUUAGAGAAGAACAAAUGUGUAAGUAACUAUGCACGUCUUGACGGUACCUAAUCAGAAAGCCACGGCUAACUACGUGCCAGCAGCCGCGGUAAUACGUAGGUGGCAAGCGUUAUCCGGAAUUAUUGGGCGUAAAGCGCGCGUAGGCGGUUUUUUAAGUCUGAUGUGAAAGCCCACGGCUCAACCGUGGAGGGUCAUUGGAAACUGGAAAACUUGAGUGCAGAAGAGGAAAGUGGAAUUCCAUGUGUAGCGGUGAAAUGCGCAGAGAUAUGGAGGAACACCAGUGGCGAAGGCGACUUUCUGGUCUGUAACUGACGCUGAUGUGCGAAAGCGUGGGGAUCAAACAGG
rnacentral:rRNA from 1 species